rnacentral:lncRNA from 1 species
GGAAAAGUCCGACUCCUAGUUCCGUUGGCUUUCUGAGAAAUUGUUUUUUUUGCCCUUGGUUGGGUAUUAAUAUUAAGCAACAAUUCUCCAUUCCCCCCUCCCCAGCCCCUAGCAACCACCAUUCUACUUUCUGCAUCUAUGAUUUUGACUGCUCUACAGUCCUCAUAUAAGUAGAAAUCCACGGCACUUGUCUUUCUGGAACUGGCUUAUUUCACUCAGCAUAAUGUCCUCGAGGUUCAUCCAUGUUGCUGCGUGUGACAGGAUUUCCUUAUUUUGGAGGCUGAAUACUAUUCCACCGUAUGGAUGCUCCCCAUUUUGUUUACCCAUUCAUCUAUCAAUGGACACUGGGUUGCUUCCAGCUUUUGGCUGUUGUAACACUACUGUGAGUGAGGGUAUACUACUAUUUUUUCAAGACCCUGCUUUCAAGUCUCUUAGGUAUCUAGAUGUGGGAUUGCUGGAUCUCAUGGUUAUUCUAUGUUCAAUUCUUUAAGCAUUUCCACAGGAGAGCAGAAUAUUAUUAUUCAGAAUGAAAAGAGGGGCCCAAUUCCUGGAGAAGGGCAAAUAUCUUGAUUUUUAAAAUAAGAGAAAACGUAUAUGUGUGAACUGGGGGACUUUCUGUUGAGCCCCCAGCAACAUUCUAAAACAGUGUCACUAAACUUCUUGUUAAGAGUUCCGUGAUAGCAACUAUGACAACGGCAAUGGCACCGAGUCUUGGAAUCACAAUGGUCUUUGUUGCCGCCUCUGCUAUCGUUGGGAGGUUGUAUUUUCAUGAUUCCUUCAAUAACUGCAGCCUAGCAUUUUACUUCAGGAAUAUCAGUAUUCCUUAGGAGGAACAUCCUUAUCAGCGGGACAUCAGCGCCACAGCACAAGGUUGCGAAAAAGAGACUGAGGCUCAGGCUGUGUGAAGGGAACAGAGUGCUGGGCUCCCCGGGCAGCCCACAUUGGAAGGGUGGGCUCUUUCCAUGUUUCAGGAAAGACCUGGCCCUCGGGGGCGCAUCAACAGGUUGUGUCACACCUGAGGGGCUCACCAACCAGCUCCGGGGAUCUGCCGUGCGUAUCAUUCUCUGCAGGCCAACAGCCAGGGAGAAGAGAGCUCCCCUCGCAAGUGUCAAGAGAUAGGCCAGGGUGAUGGGUCAGCUGCGGGUUAUCAAGCCCCCAAAUUUCCAGCACAUUGCUGCCAUUACUGGCCAGGCCUGGCUGCCCCAGGAGACGCUCCCAUUCAAGGAGCGGUGGGAGGAUGGCAGUAAACGCAGGAGACUCAGCAAGUUUUAAGGAGGACUCAACUCCACUGACUGCUCCUGUCCUGACUUUGGUGGGUGGACAGGGUGGGUGGACAGACUGCAGAGGGGCCCAGAGGAAGGAUGUUGUGGGUUGGGGGUGGCAAAGAAAGCGCCCAGCCCCCAGGUUCUCCCUUGUAAAAACACAUAACCACAGGGCAUAAUCUUUCACAAACCCUCUUGGUUGGAGAAGAUUUGAAGGCUAUUUCAAUUUGUGAAGUCGUCACUAAUUUCAAAUUACUUUCCAAAAUCAUCGCAUCCACUGGGACCCUUUGCAACUGUAGUAAACAAAGUACCUCUUUCCUCUCCUGCUUCUGGAGGGCUGGAGCCAAUGGGAGGAGCUUUUUCAAUACAAAGUGAAAUAUUAACUCUUUCUUCGGAAACCAGAGAGGUUCAUUUUAACUGAUGCCUCUCUGGCUGUCUUUUAAGGAAAGAAUAGAUACGCUUAGCUUCUGCAGUCUUCAACUUCUAAGAAUGUGAUUACAUUUAAACUUAAAAAGGUAAACUGUGUUCGGUUUUGUAGUAAAUGUAAUCAUAGUGAAGAACUCGAUGCUGUUUUUUCUUGUUUGUUUGUUUUUGUUUUUUGUUUUUGUUUUUUGUUUUUUUUGAGAUGGAGUCUAGCUCUGUUGCCCAAGCUGGAGUACCGUGGCACGAUCUCGGCUCACUGCAAGCUCCGCCUCCCGGGUUCACGCCGUUCUCCCGCCUCAGCCUCUCUGAGCAGCUGGGACUACAGGCGCCUGCCACCAAGCCCGGCUAAUUUUUUGUA